rnacentral:rRNA from 1 species
AGAGUUUGAUCCUGGCUCAGAAUGAACGUUGGCGGCGUGGAUUAGGCAUGCAAGUCGGACGGGCCGCAAGGCCAGUGGCGGAAGGGUGAGUAAGGCGACGGUAACCAACCCCGCGGACGGGCAUAGCCGGGGGAAACCCCGGGUAAUUCCCGGCGACGUGGCGGCCCGGCAUCGGGCGGCCACCAAAGAUUCAUCGCCGCGGGACGGGCCGUUGUGGUAUUAGGUAGUUGGCGGGGUGACGGCCCACCAAGCCUGCGAUGCCUACCGGGCGUGCGAGCGUGGCCCGGCACACUGGGACUGAGACACUGCCCAGACUCCUACGGGAGGCUGCAGUCGAGAAUCUUCGGCAAUGGGCGCAAGCCUGACCGAGCGACGCCGCGUGGAGGAUGAAGGCCUUCGGGUUGUAAACUCCUGUCGAGGGGGAGGAAGGCGCAAGCUUGACCGAUCCCUGGAGGAAGCACGGGCUAAGUUCGUGCCAGCAGCCGCGGUAAGACGAACCGUGCGAACGUUAUUCGGAAUCACUGGGCUUAAAGCGCGUGUAGGCGGGCCGCCACGUCGGCUGCUGAAAUCCCCCGGCUCAACCGGGGAACGGGCACCGAUACGAGCGGCCUGGAGGGGGGUAGGGGGACCUGGAACUUCCGGUGGAGCGGUGAAAUGCGUUGAGAUCGGAAGGAACGCCCGUGGCGAAAGCGAGGUCCUGGACCCUUUCUGACGCUGAGACGCGAAAGCCAGGGGAGCGAACGGGAUUAGAUACCCUAGUAGUCC